rnacentral:rRNA from 1 species
GAUGAACGCUGGCGGCGUGCCUAAUACAUGCAAGUCGAGCGAACAGACGAGGAGCUUGCUCCUCUGACGUUAGCGGCGGACGGGUGAGUAACACGUGGAUAACCUACCUAUAAGACUGGGAUAACUUCGGGAAACCGGAGCUAAUACCGGAUAAUAUAUUGAACCGCAUGGUUCAAUAGUGAAAGACGGUUUGCUGUCACUUAUAGAUGGAUCCGCGCCGCAUUAGCUAGUUGGUAAGGUAACGGCUUACCAAGGCAACGAUGCGUAGCCGACCUGAGAGGGUGAUCGGCCACACUGGAACUGAGACACGGUCCAGACUCCUACGGGAGGCAGCAGUAGGGAAUCUUCCGCAAAGGGCGAAAGCCUGACGGAGCAACGCCGCGUGAGUGAUGAAGGUCUUCGGAUCGUAAAACUCUGUUAUUAGGGAAGAACAAAUGUGUAAGUAACUAUGCACGUCUUGACGGUACCUAAUCAGAAAGCCACGGCUAACUACGUG